AACAAAUACUCAUUUCAUAUGCUAAGGAAAUGGAAUCGCAAGUGGUUCUUCAAUGACUUAAUAUGAGAAAAUUAGGUCCAACACAUUUUUCUAAACUAGAAACGAGUCUAUUGAAAAAUAAUUUGAGAGAUCAUAGCAUUUAACGUUUUCCCACCUAAAGGCUAAAAGUGCUGUUUUCAAAUAAGAAAAAAAAUUAAAAAGUCGUCUUUUAAGGGUAACAAAGUUUUGAGUUUUCUGCUAUUCAACACGAUUUACAUCAAAAGAAACUACCAAUUACAGUAAGCUAAGGAAGAAGACGACAGUGAAAUCAUGAAGUACUUCAAAAUCCAACCUUCAAAGAACUUACCAAUUAAAUCACGAAAAUAGAAGAAAAAGAAGAAACCUUCAAAAUCAAAACCCAACUGGCAGUAUCCGGAGCCGGCGCCGGCAUUCGUCUUCCAGCAACGGCUAACUCUGUACUUUAUUCAGCAAGGUAAAUUUGAUCAAACUCAAACCUAUACUAUAAUGCGGAUCAGAUAUGAUGACGAUGAGGAGGAAAACUUUAUAUGUUUCGAUUCCCCGUGGAGAUUGGUCGGUCUGCUCACUAGACUUCCCGACUUCGAAACUUUUUUGUUUCAAGAACUUCAGGUGCUUUUUAUGUUAAAUUUCACUGUUAUGUUAUACUGCAAUGUGUUUUUAUGCAGUGCAGAAAUACUUUUUUUUUUUUUUUUUUUUUAUCUUUCCACAUUGCUGGGUCUGAUAAUUUAAUUAUGGCCCAGAGUUUCGAAAUUUUUCUUGACGUUGAUUAUUGGUUUUGCGUAGUCUGAAGGAAGAACUACCCAGUGACUUUGCUGAAACAUGCGACAAUGAAAUAUCGUUAGCAUAUUGAGGUUAAUGUUUAUUGUAAAAUAAUUGCCUAAAAAGUGUUUGGCUCUGCUAUUGUAGCAUGUGCAUGUUUGGUUUGCACAUUUCUAUCACAAUCUACUAAAAAAUCUAAUUUUAAUCUCCACCAAACAUCCUUGUUUCAUUCUGGUGACUAUCGAUACCUCAAAGUCUUAUGGUUUCUUUAUCUUUUUACCAGAUCUAUCGGGCAAUUGUAGUUAGAAUAGUUGGGAACUAGUAAAUAGCCACUUUUGGUUUGGCACUUGAUAUCGAAUCGACCUGUAGAACUUUUUGAUGUGUAUUUCUAUGUUGUGAGUGUAUACUGUAAUUUGAUUUCAACUUAUUACAAUGUAUAAAAGUUGAUUUUUCUUUCCCCGCCUUUUUUUUUUUUUUUUUUUUUUUUUUGGCAGAUUGGUUUAGUUCAUAUUGCCAGGG
rnacentral:lncRNA from 1 species